rnacentral:lncRNA from 1 species
AAAGAAAGAAAUAUUAAAAAAUAAAAAUAUGCUAAAAAGUAAGCUUUGAAAUUUUUAGUAUAUUACAAAUUAAAAGAAAAGUUAAAAAAGUAAUAAUAAUUAUAAUAAUAAUCCCUCCAUUUCAAAAUAUUAGAUAAUUUAUAAUUAUUAUUAUUAUAGUUAUAAUAAUAACAAAUAUAAAUAUAAUAAUUAUAAUUAUAAUAUUUUAUUAUUAAUUAAUUUAAUUAUUUGUUAUGUAUAUUAAUUUGAUUUAUAUUUUAUUUAACCCCCAAUUAUGGCCAUGUCAAUCGGUAAUACAAAAGUCAUCGGUGAUCGCCAAAACAAGUUCAAAUCUAAACGAAGUGCAUAAUCUAACCAAUCAACCAAGAAAUCAAAUGAAGAAUACAACAAAUAUGAAAAUGAUAUCUGACAAUAACACGAAAAGUAGGAUGUAUCAUACACACAUCUCAUAUCCAUCGAAAAACCAGACCGCCAACGACCCAAACACCAUUGAACAAAUAGCAAUAACCAAUUUAGGAAUUAAAAACAUGUUAAAAUGAACAAUGGAAAUCAUAACAGAUCAACCCAACAAUUUGAUUCCAAAACAAUAAACAUCAAUAAAAAAAGAAAUCAGAAAUAGGGACAAGUAGUCAUUAAACCCCCAAUAGCCCAACCCGAUUCAAAAUACAAUCGAAAUAGAAGGAAUUAGGUGAAUCAAGACCAAUAUUAGAUGAAACACCAUGAAAACAUCCUAAUCUGAGCAUUACAUAGAAAGCAAAGAUUAGCCAUAACACCCAGACCCAGAUUGGAAAGCGCUCAGAUAAAAGCUCCUAUCGGCGCCUAAUAGAACUGGCACAUAACAUAUCUUGAGCUGAUUUGUGAAGAACAAAAUCAAAUCCGAGCGAAUCAACUUCUAAAACUCCACUCCUACAAAUUUGAAACCCUCGAAGCCAAGCCCAUACACCCCCACUUCAUAUCAUAACUCCCAAGUCCAAACUCACUAAGAGCAUACCCCCUACUAAUCUACACAAUAUAAGCCCAUGAUCUAAAGCCCCGGACUUUGCAAACAUAGAUCGGUAGAUAUUUGCGAGAAGGAUCACAUUUUUGUCACAGAAAAAGUACAAACAGAUCCAAGUAAUAAUAAAGUGAAAGAAAGGAAAAGGAGUGAUUGUUUAAUUUGUUUAAUUAUUUAUUAUAAAAUCAAGUAUAAUUUAAUUUAAUUAAUUAUUCAACUUACCUUCUCUCUUUAUCAAUAUAAAAAUGAGAGAAAAUAGAAAGUAGACAUACGAUUAUAUUUUACACAUUUUCAUUGGUAAGUAAUAUAUGGGUAUUGCUCUUUGUGCAUUUUUUUUUUGUGUACAAUUUGUGCGCCUAAUAGAAAAUGUGUAAUACAUUUAAUUGUAGGUCCUACUUCCUUUUUUUUAUACUCCCUCCCC